UGCGAUGAGUCGAGUAAGCAUGUAUCAAUGCUGAAAGAAGCAGCUGACAGGUUAAGAGCCACCCGCCGGAUUUGCGGGGUCAGCGAUCUCAAGGUUGUGGAGCCA
rnacentral:ncRNA from 1 species